CCUUAUUAUGAGAGGUGGAGGGAAUAGGCCCUUUGAAGCCCAGCAACCUGCUAAAUGCAACGGUGCUAAAUCCUACAAGGCAGAUGUCUUGAAAGAUGAGG
rnacentral:ncRNA from 1 species